UGGGGUAUAGCUCAGUUGGUAGAGCACCUGCCUUGCAAGCAGGGGGUCAGCGGUUCGAAUCCGCUUAUCUCCACCA
rnacentral:tRNA from 1 species